AUUACAUCUAGUUUAAAGUUCAAAAAGUUUAUUCUAGGAGAAGCAAACUUUUUUUCAUGAAGAGCUCAUGAUUUCCAUGAAAAAAAAAGCAAGAGGAACAAGCCAAUAGUUUAUAGUUUAUAGUUUGGUCUAAAAAAAAGCAUGAAGGCCUUAUAGUUUAUAAGGAACAAGCCAAUAGCUCCUUAUAAACUAUAAGGCCUCAAAGACUCUAUUUUUAGACCAAGACCAGAUCUGUAUAGGGAGAUUUACGUGCCUUGAAAAUUAUGUUUUACAGACCUAAUGACCAUAAGAAGGGUAAGUUGAACAAGGUUAGAAUUGUACAGCAUUACAUAAAAGGAGUUAUAAUUUUCUUGGAUUCUUUUUGGGUUAACCAAAUAGGAUAUGUAUUGGACCUUAUUUCUUAUCCUUUUUUGCCUUUUCAGCUUUCUUCUCAGGUUUUGAUAAAAGUCCUCUUAGGUAAGAGCCUUGAUUUCUUACGGAGUUGAUGAUCUAGAACAGGAAAGGGGAUAAAAAAAUAAAUCUUUGAAGAAGGCUGAUUGGUAUGCCUAAUGUACUUCCAACAAUGAAGAGAGACUGAUUUUCCUUUAAAGAAGCAUGAUUAUGUCAUAUUACUUGACAUCAUGAGGCAUGAGUGCUCAAGGCAUGUUUUGAAGUAUUGCAUGCAUAUUUAUCAAUCAAAGCCAGAUAUGAAAAAAGCUUGUGGAAUAAAUUAUUUCACUACUAGCAUGCUUAGAACUUCAAUUGCAUUAUCUCAUGGUGACUUGUGAAUAAGCAUCCGUUGGCAUUCCAUGUAUCUUAGAGAACAUUUUUAUGGGAAAUUAGUACUCUUUUAAAGGUAUUUUUUAGUUUAAGUGAACAUAGAAUGAACCUAUCUCGAAUUGUUUUGCAAUAGCUCAAACCUUGCAUUCAUAGGAUGCUUGUGGAAUUUGCAGCAAUCUCCUCGACCACUUUACUAGAAUUUCAGUACAUAUGUAUACACCAGGAAUAUUGAAACGUGUUCAAAGGCCUCAAAGAGUAUGUUUUUAGACCAAGACCAGAUAUGUAAAGGGAGAUUUAAGUGCCUUGAAAACUAUGUUUUACAGACCUAAUGACCAUAAGAAGGCUUUCUAUGAGACUAUCACCUCUUCCCAUAUUGGAAAGGAUGCUGGAUGAAUUGUUAUAUUAGGCAUUAGAAGGUCACCAUUAAAAGGCUGAAGUUAACGACCAAAUUUAUGUGUGAAGGGAAGAAAGGUAAUGUGCGUGGAGCUGGUUUUCUUAACAUUUGUGGCAAAUGCAUGCAUUGAGAUGAAAUUAAUUAAUUUCUGUGCAAGUUAAGGGAAUCUAAUUGUUGGUGAUUUUCUUUUUAAUCAGACUCAAAGACUCUGUUUCUAGACCAAGACCAGAUCUGUAAAGGGAGAUUUAAGUGCCUUGAAAAUUAUGUUUUACAGACCUAAUGACCAUAAGAAGGGUAAGUUGAACAAGGUUAGAAUUGUUCAACUAUAAUAUAGGAUUCGUAAUCUGCUAAUAUUCCUGGCCUUGAAAAUUAGAUAGUCAUUUUCCGCUAUAAUAUAGGAUUCGUAAUCAAGAGUGAGUAAAUGUAAAGGCAAUGUAUUUGAGUACUUGGUUGUAAACAUUAUUCUCUUGAUUGUAAAUAUUCUGUACUUGAGAAUGAAUAAGCAGUUUCAGUUUUGCAUUUUA